UGGGGAAUAUUGGACAAUGGGGGCAACCCUGAUCCAGCCAUGCCGCGUGAGUGAUGAAGGCCUUCGGGUUGUAAAGCUCUUUUGGCGGGGACGAUGAUGACGGUACCCGCAGAAUAAGCACCGGCUAACUUCGUGCCAGCAGCCGCGGUAAUACGAAGGGUGCAAGCGUUACUCGGAAUUACUGGGCGUAAAGCGUGCGUAGGUGGUUGUUUAAGUCUGAUGUGAAAGCCCUGGGCUCAACCUGGGAAUGGCAUUGGCAACUGGGCAGCUAGAGUGCGGUAGAGGGUAGUGGAAUUCCCGGUGUAGCAGUGAAAUGCGUAGAGAUCGGGAGGAACAUCUGUGGCGAAGGCGACUGCCUGGACCAGCACUAACUCUGAGGCACGAAAGCGUGGGGAGCAAACA
rnacentral:rRNA from 1 species